rnacentral:rRNA from 1 species
UACGGGGGGGGCAAGCGUUGUUCGGAAUUACUGGGCGUAAAGGGUUCGUAGGUGGCCAACUAAGUCAUACGUGAAAUCCCUCAGCUUAACCGGGGAACUGCGUCUGAUACUGGAUGGCUUGAGUUCGGGAGGGGGUAGCGGAAUUCCCAGUGUAGCGGUGAAAUGCGUAGAUAUUGGGAGGAACACCAGUGGCGAAGGCGGCUACCUGGACCGGUUCUGACGCUGAUGCGCGAAAGCGUGGGUAGCAAACAGG